GAUGAAGAACGUAGCGAAAUGCGAUAAGUAGUGUGAAUUGCAGAAUUCAGUGAAUCAUCGAAUCUUUGAACGCACAUUGCGCCCCUUGGUAUUCCAUGGGGCAUGCCUGUUCGAGCGUCAUUUGUACCCUCAAGCUUUGCUUGGUGUUGGGUGUUUGUCCCGCGUUGCGCGUGGACUCGCCUUAAAGCGAUUGGCAGCCGGCAUAUUGGCCUUGGAGCGCAGCACAUUUUGCGCUUCUGGUCAUGAAUGUUGGCGUCCAUUAAGCCUAUACAUUUGCUCUUGACCUCGGAUCAGGUAGGGAUACCCGCUGAACUUAAGCAUAUCAAUAAGCGGAGGA
rnacentral:misc_RNA from 1 species